AGACGCUAUUCCCUAAGAUUAACCCAUGCAUGUUUUUGACAUUUGAAAAAUGGACUGCUCAGUAAUACUCACUUUAUUUUAUGUAAAUUUUUAAUUAACUACGUUAAAGUGUAGAUAAGAUGUUUACAGUAAAAGUGAGACCUAUCAGCUAGUUGUUAAGGUAAUGGCUUAACAAGGCUGUGACGGGUAACGGUAUUACUUUGUAAUAUUCCGGAGAAGGAGCCUGAGAGACGGCUACUAAGUCUAAGGAUUGCAGCAGGGGCGAAACUUGACCUAUGGAUUUUAUCUGAGGCAGUUAUGGGAAGUAAUAUUAUAUUGUUUCAUAUUUUAAAAGUAUAUGAGGUGAUUAAUUGGAGGGCAAAUCAAGUGCCAGCAGCCGCGGUAAUACUUGUUCCAAGAGUGUGUAUGAUGAUUGAUGCAGUUAAAAAGUCCGUAGUUUAUUUUUUAAGAAGCAAUAUGAGGUGUACUGUAUAGUUGGGAGAAAGAUGAAAUGUGACGACCCUGACUGGACGAAC
rnacentral:rRNA from 1 species